rnacentral:rRNA from 1 species
GACGAACGCUGGCGGCGUGCUUAACACAUGCAAGUCGAGCGGAAAGGCCACUUCGGUGGUACUCGAGCGGCGAACGGGUGAGUAACACGUGAGUAAUCUGCCCCUGGCUUUGGGAUAGCCACCGGAAACGGUGAUUAAUACCGGAUACGACCACUUCUCGCAUGGGAUGGUGGUGGAAAGUUUUUUCGGCCAGGGAUGUGCUCGCGGCCUAUCAGCUUGAUGGUGAGGUAAUGGCUCACCAUGGCUUCGACGGGUAGCCGGCCUGAGAGGGUGCCCGGGCACAGGGGGACGGGGACACGGCCAGGACUCCUAGGGGAGGAAGCAGUGGGGAAUAUGGGACAGGGGGGGGAAGCCUGAGCCAGCAACGCCGGGGGGGGAAGGACGGCCUGCGGGUUGAAACCCUCUUACGGCGGGGAGGAGGCGAAGGGGACGGUACCUGCAGAAGAAGCACCGGCCAACUACGGGCCAGCCGCCGCUGUAA